GGAUGUGAGAGCUAUCUGGCUGGAACGUCUGUCACCCCAUUGUUUCCCAGGGGUGAACCAGCUGAUCUGGCUAAUAGGCAGGUGUUCUCUUCCUCCUGCAUAACUCUGUGCAUGUCUCUUCUGAAAUUGCAGCUGUGAGUUUGGUGGAAGAGGACAACUACUCUCAAUAGAGGAGGAGUGGUGCUCCUUACCAGUUUCCCUCUGUCAAAAGUAAUCACUAGAUCUUU
ensembl:misc_RNA 7SK 7SK RNA